CAGCAGCCACGGUAAUACGGAGGGGGCUAGCGUUGUUCGGAAUUACUGGGCGUAAAGCGCACGUAGGCGGCUUUGUAAGUCAGAGGUGAAAGCCCGGGGCUCAACCCCGGAAUUGCCUUUGAGACUGCAUCGCUUGAAUCCAGGAGAGGUGAGUGGAAUUCCGAGUGUAGAGGUGAAAUUCGUAGAUAUUCGGAAGAACACCAGUGGCGAAGGCGGCUCACUGGACUGGUAUUGACGCUGAGGUGCGAAAGCGUGGGGAGCAAACAGGAUUAGAUACCCGAGUAGUCCCUGUCUCUUAUAC
rnacentral:rRNA from 1 species